UAAAGUAUGUGCCAAAAAUCG
rnacentral:piRNA from 1 species